GGUGCACAUGGAGAAGUAACUCACGGGCUGGGGUGCAAAAAAGAAAGAGUGGUGUCAUGUGCUGUCCAACUAGAGAGAGGUGCAUGUGCUGGCUGGAAUGAAAAACACAUCACACGACCCAUGAGAAAUUAAAUGGGAGCACAUAGCAGCAUGUAGGGACCGGUCCAACAAGCUUACGGUGCUGGAUUCUUGGAGAUUUGAUGCCACGUCUUGGAGAGAAAGGGGGGUGCAAUCCACACGUCUAGGAGCAUCUCGGUCCAACACAGCAAGCACGUGAGGUGGGCGUUCAUUCUUCAUGGAGGGGUGCACGCGGAGUAGAGGUCCAGGAGAGGACAGCACGCGUCCAGCUGACACACGUCCAGAGCAGCAACACACGUCCAACACCUUGAUUCCAGCUGCUUCAGAACACGUCCCUGAUCCACUCACGCUCCAGCAUCACCACGAUCCAACAAGCAGAAAGGGGGUGGUGUCCAGAAAGAAGAUAACGCCUAGCGUGGAGAGGUGUCGAAAGCAAAGCGGUCCAGCAUCCAAGGGGCAGCUCCCAUCCAGCACAGCAGCACAUGAGGAGGGAUUCACUAAUUCAUUUUUUGAAGGCAACACAGCCCAGCAGCUUGGUAGAAAAUUCUCAGUCCAGGGCGUUUGGAAGAGGGAGCCGUAGGAACGUUCGUCCAGCUGUGAUCUUCCUUUUGGACCGAACAGAGUUUGGAUCGGAACUGACUAAGUAGAAUUUGUUGAGUGAACCUGAGUGUAGAACGCUGUUAGAGGUCGACCCAAAACCUUGCAUUUGGGAGUUCACUGCUAUCCAGCACGCAGCAGCUGAGACGGAGGAGGAAGAAUGACUUGGCUAUUUUGGAAAAAGCCACCCUAGAGAGCACAUGCGGAGAACGGAUGGGAGCAUGAGAAUAGCACAGUGAUUUCUUUUGAAGGGAGGUUGAUGUCCAGCAAAGGGGGAGCUCUCGGUUUUUAAUUAUUGCACGAGUAUAGAUGUUGUCAUUUGGCCUUUUAAAGAAGAUAAUGCAAUUAUUAAUUGUAGCAACUCUCGGUUUUAAUUGCAAGUGCUGAUUUAAUCUUGUGAAGCAAGCAUGGUUCAUUUUGUUGUUCUGGAGAAAAGUGGUCCACGCUUCCAACCUUUAUCACUUUCAUUGGUUUUAUUAUUUUAUACAUUAGAAUG